AUACAAAGUGGCGACUUGUCUUUCGCUUCCCUUGUUGUUGGCUGACGUGAGUUGGCACAAAGCAUCAUGGGGUAUGUGGGCACAUGAACGGCCAACAGGUCUUCACCGUUCUCUUUUUCUCAGACUGUUUUCACAAUUGGUAGUCUUUUUUUUAGUAUGACAGUAAAUAAUGUGACUGUGAGCAACCAUUUCCGUUUCGUGUUACUGCUGCAGUACGAACGAAAUAUUUCAAGCUGACUCCGUUGAAGUGCUAAGCUAACCGAGCUAGCCCGUUAAUUAAGGAAAACGGCCAUGUUAACGGCUGUGCAUUCGUCGUAAAAUGUGGCUGGACUAGGCAAGGCAAAGAAAGAAAACAACGGCAAAUUAAUUUGUUUUGUUAUGGUACUCUCAUAUGUUAAAAGUGUUCUUUUUCGCACUCCCCUCUAAAAUAAUGAUGUGCCUUGUGCCGGCUAUUCCAGGUGUAUUUUCACUUGUUAUUUACGAAUUGUUAAUAGCUCAAAAAAAUCCAAUUACAAAAAAAAAAGUCAAAGCAAAGUCUCGGCCUCGAAGCUUUACAGGGAUGACUUUUCCACAUGGACUAAUGCUGCUGCAAAGUACUUCCGUCCGUCCUGAAGUUAAAAGCCUACCCUGGCUCUUGAGCAGCCCCCACCAAAAUCACAAUAACCUUGGGCCUCUGUGUUGACUUACUCCCCCAAAAUAAAUAGAUAAAUAAAUAAAAAAAGAAAAUCCAUCCUCCUUUCCCAGACCUGUCGUCUCCGGAGGCGAGCUUAUCUAAAUAGAAUUGAUCGGCCCCAGAGAUCAUUCAUCACACCAGGCCUGGCGAGACAGAGGGAAAGGCGAGAUUUGAAGGAUUUGAAUUUUUCCUGCAGAUGUCACAGAGUCGACGCUAAAAGGAACGAGGGUGCAAACGAGCCAAAAGGACGACAGACGAUGCGGUUGAUGACAUUUUCCUUCGUUUGCCGAAAAGCUCAAAGAAAAAAAACACAUCAGCGUACUAAAGCAAAAGAAGAAGUGACGUGAUGGAUGGCGGCGAGCGAGACGGCGGAAAGACUCCGGAGAUUGACAACGUUUCAGGUGCUCGCCAGACACAUGCCGAGAGAUGCCGGCGGCCAUGAUUUGAACAUUAAUCACAUGAGCGACGCAGCAGCGCAGCGCGCCUCGCGUGCUUGUGGAUGGCAGGUGGCGGCAAAAGUGAAGCAGUUUUGCCGUGGGGGUUGGGUGGAAAGCCAUCAUGCAGAACAGCUGCUCGAUCGAAUUAUCACCUGCCUAAUCGGGCCCGCCUGCUGCUUUGUAGUUGCCGCAGCUACCCGGAGGUAAACAAUUCCCUGGAAAACAAACUUGCACGCCAACGGGAGUUUCACUUUAAUGUCCUUGGAAUCAAUUUUUACCAUCAAAGCAGUCGCGUUGGCAGGAGAACACAUUUUUGGAGCGUCCUUCAAGGAAUUCAUUUACGACCGAGCUAGACUUCAUUUUGAUAAAACGUCAAGCAGCCCUUUCUUCCAUCAAUCAACGAAAAAGCAAAUUGCUCAACUCCAA